AGCUCCAAUAGCAUAUACUAAAGUUGUUGCGGUUAAAAGGCUCGUAGUUGGAUUUCUGCCGAGGACGACCGGUCCGUCCGCCCUCUGGGUGAGUAUCUGGCUUGGCCUGGGCAUCUUCUUGGAGAACUUAGCUGCACUUGACUGUGUGGUGCGGUAUCCAGGAUUUGUAUUUCGAGGGAAUUACAGUGUUUCAAGCAGGCAUGUGCCUUGGAUACAUUAGCAUGGAAUAAUAAGAUAGGACCUCGGUUCUAUUCUGUUGGCUUCUAUAGCUGAGGUAAUGAUUAAUAGGGAUAGUUGGGGGCAUUCGUAUUUAACUGUCAGGGGUGAAACUCUUGGAUUCGUUGAGGACAGACUACUGCGAAAGCAUUUGCCAAGGAUGUUUUCA
rnacentral:rRNA from 1 species